rnacentral:rRNA from 1 species
AUGGCGACGGGUGAGUAACACGUGGGCAAUCUGCCCUGCACUCUGGGACAAGCCCUGGAAACGGGGUCUAAUACCGGAUACUGAUCCUCGCGGGCAUCUGCGAGGUUCGAAAGCUCCGGCGGUGCAGGAUGAGCCCGCGGCCUAUCAGCUUGUUGGUGAGGUAAUGGCUCACCAAGGCGACGACGGGUAGCCGGCCUGAGAGGGCGACCGGCCACACUGGGACUGAGACACGGCCCAGACUCCUACGGGAGGCAGCAGUGGGGAAUAUUGCACAAUGGGCGAAAGCCUGAUGCAGCGACGCCGCGUGAGGGAUGACGGCCUUCGGGUUGUAAACCUCUUUCAGCAGGGAAGAAGCGAAAGUGACGGUACCUGCAGAAGAAGCGCCGGCUAACUACGUGCCAGCAGCCGCGGUAAUACGUAGGGCGCAAGCGUUGUCCGGAAUUAUUGGGCGUAAAGAGCUCGUAGGCGGCUUGUCACGUCGGUUGUGAAAGCCCGGGGCUUAACCCCGGGUCUGCAGUCGAUACGGGCAGGCUAGAGUUCGGUAGGGGAGAUCGGAAUUCCUGGUGUAGCGGUGAAAUGCGCAGAUAUCAGGAGGAACACCGGUGGCGAAGGCGGAUCUCUGGGCCGAUACUGACGCUGAGGAGCGAAAGCGUGGGGAGCGAACAGGAUUAGAUACCC